GACGAACGCUGGCGGCGUGCCUAAUACAUGCAAGUCGAGCGAACAGACGAGGAGCUUGCUCCUCUGACGUUAGCGGCGGACGGGUGAGUAACACGUGGAUAACCUACCUAUAAGACUGGGAUAACUUCGGGAAACCGGAGCUAAUACCGGAUAAUAUAUUGAACCGCAUGGUUCAAUAGUGAAAGACGGUUUUGCUGUCACUUAUAGAUGGAUCCGCGCCGCAUUAGCUAGUUGGUAAGGUAACGGCUUACCAAGGCAACGAUGCGUAGCCGACCUGAGAGGGUGAUCGGCCACACUGGAACUGAGACACGGUCCAGACUCCUACGGGAGGCAGCAGUAGGGAAUCUUCCGCAAUGGGCGAAAGCCUGACGGAGCAACGCCGCGUGAGUGAUGAAGGUCUUCGGAUCGUAAAACUCUGUUAUUAGGGAAGAACAAAUGUGUAAGUAACUAUGCCCGUCUUGACGGUACCUAAUCAGAAAGCCACGGCUAACUACGUG
rnacentral:rRNA from 1 species